GAUGAAGAACGCAGCGAAAUGCGAUAAGUAGUGUGAAUUGCAGAAUUCAGUGAAUCAUCGAAUCUUUGAACGCACAUUGCGCCCCUUGGUAUUCCAUGGGGCAUGCCUGUUCGAGCGUCAUUUGUACCUUCAAGCUCUGCUUGGUGUUGGGUGUUUGUCUCGCCUCUGCGUGUAGACUCGCCUCAAAACAAUUGGCAGCCGGCGUAUUGAUUUCGGAGCGCAGUACAUCUCGCGCUUUGCACUCAUAACGACGACGUCCAAAAGUACAUUUUUACACUCUUGACCUCGGAUCAGGUAGGGAUACCCGCCGAACUUAAGCAUAUCAAUAAGCGGAGGA
rnacentral:misc_RNA from 1 species